rnacentral:lncRNA from 1 species
UACUUCUUGGAAAUGAUUUCAGCAGCUCAGUCUGCAAGGCCACAUGUCUCUCCCUGUGGGGAAAUGAUUGUCGUAGAAUUCAGAAGCUCUCUUUGACUGAAUAUGGUCAGUGCAUAUUCCUGUUAGAAGAAGCAAAGCAAAGCCUUGCAUGUGGUAGGUGUCCAAUUCAUCUGUGCUGGUUAAUGAAAUACAAAAUAUUUGAUCUAGGUCAGUUUUUGAGUGAUUGCCUAAUGCAUUCAAAGGAGAUCAUUUAUUAAUCACUUAAAUAAAGAAAGAGAAGAAGAAGAAGAAAAAGAAAAGAACCCAAAAGAAAAGAGAAGGAGAGAAGAGACAAAACUGGGUAUGGGUGCCUAGAUUUGUAAGCCCAGAGCUGGGGAAGCUGGAGGAGAGUGAGUUUGAGACAUGGCUACAGAGUGAUGCCUUG